rnacentral:rRNA from 1 species
UACGUAGGGUGCGAGCGUUGUCCGGAAUUAUUGGGCGUAAAGAGCUUGUAGGCGGUCUGUCGCGUCUGCUGUGAAAAUCCGGGGCUCAACCCCCGGACUUGCAGUGGGUACGGGCAGACUAGAGUGUGGUAGGGGAGACUGGAAUUUCUGGUGUAGCGGUGAAAUGCGCAGAUAUCAGGAGGAACACCGAUGGCGAAGGCAGGUCUCUGGGCCACUACUGACGCUG